UCUCAUUACUUAAAGAGUAACUCAACAAUGUGUGCAGGGCUUUUCAAUUAUCCUCAACCAGCAGUUCAUAUCGCAUAUCAUAUUACCCUCUGUCCGCUUUACUUGGAAAUGUCCAGUGUAGCGUGCAUGAUGUCGAUCACACAGCCCACAAUAAUAACAAGAUUUGUAGACACAUGCCAAUGUUUGCAAAUAACAUGCCAACAACAAGCGGCAAUCGCAGCACGCAAGUUGACAACAUUGAACUUCAAUUCUAAGCCAACAGCAACAACAAUUUUAUUGUAAACAAUGUGACCAAUACACACCCACAUACAUAAUAAAUCAUGUGCAACUGGCUUUCGGCGACACCCAGUUGCAUAAUGCAGUUGACUUGCAGCUGAGUGGUAAUAAUUCAAAGUGCACACACCGAUUCGAUAUUCAAUUAAAGGUUGUGGUUUUGUAUUUCGGUGACAAUGAUUUUGUAUAAAAACUCAAGCGCACUUUGGAAAAAUUAUCAAACAGUCUUUACUUUCAUAAUAAAUUACAAGUGUUCGCUUGCGCAACAAACUCAAACGCAAAAAUGUUCAACCUUUACAAAGUGCUCAUCGUCUUCGCCGCCUUGGUGUGCAUUGCUGCUGCCUACCCAAGCAUCAUAGGACCAGCCAUCGUCCCCGCUCUUGGCCCAAGAGUCGUUGUCGGACCAGUCGGCGCUGUCGGCCCAGUUUUGGUGCCCGGUUUGGGUCAUGGUGCUCUUCUUGGUCAUGGUGGUGUUGUUCUUGGUUAAACCAUAACUAGUAGUUGGACUGCCAAUAUUCUCCACUGAACAGUUGCACAAUCUACACCCGCUUACCGUUAUUUUUUUCACCCAACUCAUCCAGAAGUGUUCGUUGCAUUGCUGCGCUUUCCUCUAUCAACAAUAAAUAAUUUUUUGUAAAUCGUAUAUUUUUCUUUUAGUUUGCUUAAUUUGAAUAAAUAUGCAAUAAACCAAAAUCAA